UUAUAUUCAAUUACGCAGGUUGGUCGUACAAAACUUUGGCUUACACCAGCAGCUCCACUGCUAUGGGGCUAUGCCAAAGUGGAAUCCACGAGCAUAACAGAGCUCAGCUAUUUUCAUGCCUGCUCCCUCACAGGAAAUUGAUUUCAUCUGUACCAGAAGAUUGACUGAAAUCAAGAGGGACAAGGGCUGGUGCUAUGUUUCCUGCUCGAACUGUGCGAAGAAACUUCAAAGCACUGUCUCAUCUUUCACAUGUCUGUCUUUCAACAAUACUAACGCUGUUGUUGCCUCCGAUACCGUGUGGAGAUGUCCGUUGCAAAUGAAACCGGUUAAGCUUUGUUUGUUUGUUUCGAUGGGAUAAUGACUAAAUUGCACAACAUGAGAGCCUAUGAAGCUGGUCAUCUUUUGGCCGGUGAUGGUGUCAACGCGGAGGAAACUCAUGCCCCUCCCUUUUUCAUAUCACAUGGGAGGCAAGACCUACACGUUUUAGAUGAGGGUGAGCUCAGACAAAUUUUCAGCAAAUCAUCAGAUCCUUACCAUCUCACGCAUCCUCAGUGAGCGUGAACGUUAGCCACAACCUGCCAUCCUUGAUAAUGGAGGCGACAAUGACAAUGGAGUUGACAACUCUGGUGCCAACUCCAUUCCUGCUAUUAAGGUGGAAGGUGCUGAGAUGGUGUCCUUACUUUGCCCCUGCUGAGACCUCUCAAUAUUGCCGUUGCAAAUAUGUAUGAGCAAGGUAAUUACCUGUUCAGAGUCCUUAAACUGGUAGUAGGUGACCAUGAUGAAGGUAUGGAGAUUCUUGACUUUUUUGAAUGGAAAAACAACACUGGUGCCAUUGGCAAGCUCUGGAGGCAAUUGAAGAUUCGUAAGUGUCCAUCGUUGAUCUCUUGGGCUUAGAUAGUUGAAUAAAUACUUACUGUGCGAAGGGCCCAGUAAUUCAAGACUCAAU